GUAAAACUCUCACGAGGUUAUAUGUUUUCAGAGUAACUACGCUUGUGGUGAGAUCCGGACUAACCUGCACUUCCCCCGUGUCCUGCCUCGCCUCAUCAGCAACAGAUAUUUCCAGGCAACCCCUUUUCAAAAUCCUGCGGGGCGAAUGUGGCCCGGAUGCCAAGAGAUAUUUCCCUAAACACACCAGUUUCCCCCAAUAUGACAUUCCAGCCGUCAUCCUGGGGAGGACAGUCGACCCACACCAUCAUAAUUCAUAUAUUUCUUGGGAGGUGGCAGAGGGGAGAGUCAGCAUACAUUAUAAAAGUGUGUCCUUCAGCUUCUGCAAUUCUCCCUGUUGCUGGCCUGAAGGUCCGUGUUCAAAAAGAGGAAAUAUUUGCAACAAAGGCACUCAUAUGUCCACGAACGAGCUAAAUAAAAGCAGAUGUCUCCUUGUGGUUUCAGUUCAGUAAACUUCUUUCUUUGCAAAUACAGUAGCCCCCCCUUAUCUGCGGGGGAUAUGUUCCAAGACCACCAGCGGACCCUGGAAACUGCAUAUAGUACCAAACCAUAUACAGUAUAUACUAUGUUUUUCACUAUGCAUACAUAUCUAUGAUAAAGUUUAAUAUAUAAAUUAGGCACACUAAGAGAUUAACAACAACAUGUAAUA